rnacentral:lncRNA from 1 species
CGAGGCUGCGCCCGGGUUCCGGUCCGCAGGGAGACCGAAGGGCACCACUCCCCGCGCCGCGCACGCCGCCCGAGCCCGGAGUGCGGACACCCCAGGGAUGUGAGUGCGCCCCCCGACCCCGAGGCCCGCGCUCGACGCCCUGAUCCGCGGUGAGCGCCAAGGCGCGCGCGCGGGAGCCGGGGGAGGGGACCAGGCGCGGGGUUCCCGGCCCCCCAGCCCAGGGGUAGGGGUGGGGACGAGGCGCGCACCCCUCCCCUGUCGGCAGGUACGGUCCGCUCCCACCUCCUCUUGUCGUUCCUGACCCGACGCACUGACAGCUCCCCAGGGAGGAGAGACGCCCCCCUCCCCCGUACCCGCUGCAGGUGCCGGCCCGGGGUGGGUGCAGCUUGGGUGGUCACCUCGCUGGAGCGGGCAGAGCUUUUCUCCCUGGCGGGGAAGCUGUGAUGGUGGACGCGCUGGGGGAUGGGUGGGGGUGGGGCUCGGCGAGCUGCUGGCCGACCCCCAGCUUUGGAUUUCUGGGAGGAGGACUCAUCCCGAGGCCAGAAAAGGAGAGGGUCCCUGCGCCUCAGCCAAGGGCUGGGUCUCCUGACCGAGGCUUCUCCCCGCAAGGCCUGCGCCCCAGAAGACCCCCACCCGUAGCCCCCGCGCCUCCCCGAGGCCCGCCCGGAGCAUGCUGCCCGCAGCCAUGAGGAGCCUGGGCCUGGCGCUGCUGGCCUUGCUGCUGUGUCCCGCGCCGGGUGAGUUGGGGUCCGUGGGGCAGGGGCAGGUCACCGGAAUAUCCGA